UGCCAGCCGCCGCGGUAAUACGAACCGUACGAACGUUAUUCGGAAUCACUGGGCUUAAAGAGUGCGUAGGCGGCCUGGCAGGUUGGGUGUGAAAGCCCUCGGCUCAACCGAGGAAUUGCGCUCAAAACCGUCAGGCUUGAGGGAGAUAGAGGAGAGCGGAACUGAUGGUGGAGCGGUGAAAUGCGUUGAUAUCAUCAGGAACACCGGUGGCGAAAGCGGCUCUCUGGGUCUCUUCUGACGCUGAGGCACGAAAGCUAGGGGAGCGAACGGGAUUAGAUA
rnacentral:rRNA from 1 species